UACAGAGGCGGCAAGCGUUGUUCGGAUUUAUUGGGUGUAAAGGGCAGGUAGGUGGCUAUGCAAGUCCGCGGUGAAAUCUUUGGGCUCAACCCAAAAACUGCCGUAGAAACUGCAUGGCUUGAGUAUCGGAGAGAUGAGGGGAAUUCUCGGUGUAAGGGUGAAAUCUGUAGAUAUCGAGAGGAAUACCAGUGGCGAAGGCGCCUCAUUGGCCGAUAACUGACACUGAGCUGCGAAAGCAAGGGGAGCAAACAGG
rnacentral:rRNA from 1 species